AUACGGAGGGUGCAAGCGUUGUUCGGAAUUACUGGGCGUAAAGCGCGUGUAGGCGGCUUGGCAAGUCGGUUGUGAAAGCCCGGGGCUCAACCCCGGAACUGCAUCCGAAACUGCUUGGCUAGAGUCCCGGAGAGGAAGGCAGAAUUCCCAAUGUAGGGCUGAAAUCCGUAGAUAUUGGGAGGAAUACCAGUGGCGAAGGCGGCCUUCUGGACGGUGACUGACGCUCAGACGCGAAAGCGUGGGGAGCAAACAGGAUUAGAAACCCCAGUAGUCC
rnacentral:rRNA from 1 species